rnacentral:rRNA from 1 species
CCUACGGGUGGCAGCAGUGGGGAAUAUUGGACAAUGGGCGAAAGCCUGAUCCAGCCAUGCCGCGUGUGUGAAGAAGGCCUUCGGGUUGUAAAGCACUUUCAGUGGGGAAGAAAGCCUUGGGGCUAAUACCCUCGAGGAAGGACAUCACCCACAGAAGAAGCACCGGCUAACUCCGUGCCAGCAGCCGCGGUAAUACGGAGGGUGCGAGCGUUAAUCGGAAUUACUGGGCGUAAAGCGCGGUAGGCGGUCUGAUAAGCCGGUUGUGAAAGCCCCGGGCUCAACCUGGGAACGGCAUCCGGAACUGUCAGGCUAGAGUGCAGGAGAGGAAGGUAGAAUUCCCGGUGUAGCGGGGAAAUGCGUAGAGAUCGGGAGGAAUACCAGUGGCGAAGGCGGCCUUCUGGACUGACACUGACGCUGAGGUGCGAAAGCGUGGGUAGCAAACAGGAUUAGAUACCCGAGUAGUC